AAUAAUUGUAAAUAUAAAUGUUGAAGUAGUAAGAGUUAUGAUCUUGAAACUUAAAGAAUUUGGCGGUGUUUUAGCUAUUCAGAGGAAUCUGUUUUGUAAUUGAUGAUACACGAAUGAGUGUAUUUAGUUUUUAUUUGUAUAUCGCCGUCAUCAGGUUGUUUUGAUAAGAAAAUUUUAAAUUCCGAUAUAAUUAAUAGAUGAAAAUGUCAGGUCAAGGUGCAGUUUAUAACUAAAUAGAUAAUGGAUUACAAUAAAUGUUUUUAUUUAUUAAAAUAUUUAUAUGGAAUAUUAUAUAGAAUAUAUAAUAUGAAAGUGGAUUUGAUAGUAAAUUAAUAUAAAUUUUUUAAUUGAAUUAGCUCUAAAAUAUGU
rnacentral:rRNA from 1 species